AGUCGGCGGCACUUGGUGCCGCCCGGGAGAACCAGGUCAUCGGUCGGUUCCCGUGAAAACAAAAACAAUCGGCCGCGCCGUCGCAGGCACCCGAACGUCGCGAGCGGGGCCUGGGGACGCGGGGCCGAGUGCAGCGAGCGAACGGGAGCAGCGGCGACUCGCCAGGGGGCUAGGGCGCCAUGGGGCAGGCGGGCUCCGGCUGCGCGGGGCUCCCCCGGCGCCGCGGCUAGUGCGCCCGCCGCCUCGGCCGCCUCAGCCUCCCGCGCCGCCCGCUUGGGGAACGAGGAGCAGGACGCGGCCUCGGCGGGGCCCGGGCCGAACGGCUGCGGACACCUGGGCGCCGAGGAGCCGAGCGCCGCCGCCUCCGGCAUGGAUCAGUGCGUGACGGUGGAGCGCGAGCUGGAGAAGGUGCUGCACAAGUUCUCGGGCUACGGGCAGCUGUGCGAGCGCGGCCUGGAGGAGCUCAUCGACUACACCGGCGGUCUCAAGCACGAGAUCCUGCAGAGCCACGGCCAAGAUGCUGAAUUAUCAGGGACACUUUGACUUGUUUUGACACAGUGCUGUAAAAGAAUAAAGGAUACUGUUCAAAAAUUGGCCUCCGACCACAAAGACAUCCACAGCAGUGUUUCUCGGGUUGGAAAAGCCAUUGAUAAGGAUUCACUUUAAGAGAUUUGGAAACUCUUCCCUUUGGAAUUGCUCUUCCCAUCAGAGAUGCAAUUUAUCACUGUCGUGAACAGCCUGCCUCAGACUGGCCAGAAGCUGUCUGUCUCUUGAUUGGACGUCAGGAUCUUUCCAAGCAGGCCUGCGAAGGAAACUUACCCAAAGGGAAGUCUGUGCUCUCAUCAGAUGUUCCUUCAGGAACAGAAACUGAGGAGGAAGAUGACGGCAUGAAUGACAUGAAUCACGAGGUCAUGUCAUUAAUAUGGAGUGAAGAUUUAAGGGUGCAGGAUGUGCGAAGGCUUCUUCAGAGUGCGCAUCCUGUCCGUGUCAAUGUAGUGCAGUACCCAGAGCUCAGUGACCACGAGUUCAUCGAGGAAAAGGAAAACAGAUUGCUCCAAUUGUGUCAGCGAACUAUGGCUCUUCCUGUAGGACGAGGAAUGUUUACCUUGUUUUCGUACCAUCCUGUUCCAACAGAGCCAUUGCCUAUUCCUAAAUUGAAUCUGACUGGGCGUGCCCCUCCUCGGAACACAACAGUAGACCUUAAUAGUGGAAACAUCGAUGUGCCUCCCAACAUGACAAGCUGGGCCAGCUUUCAUAAUGGUGUGGCUGCUGGCCUGAAGAUAGCUCCUGCCUCCCAGAUCGACUCAGCUUGGAUUGUUUACAAUAAGCCCAAGCAUGCUGAGUUGGCCAAUGAGUAUGCUGGCUUUCUCAUGGCUCUGGGUUUGAAUGGGCACCUUACCAAGCUGGCGACUCUCAAUAUCCAUGACUACUUGACCAAGGGCCAUGAAAUGACAAGCAUUGGACUGCUACUUGGUGUUUCUGCUGCAAAACUAGGCACCAUGGAUAUGUCUAUUACUCGGCUUCUUAGCAUUCGCAUUCCUGCUCUCUUACCCCCAACGUCCACAGAGCUGGAUGUUCCUCACAAUGUCCAAGUGGCUGCAGUGGUUGGCAUUGGCCUUGUAUAUCAAGGGACAGCUCACAGACAUACUGCAGAAGUCCUGUUGGCUGAGAUAGGACGGCCUCCUGGUCCUGAAAUGGAAUACUGCACUGACAGAAAGUCAUACUCCUUAGCUGCUGGCUUGGCCCUGGGCAUGGUCUGCUUGGGGCACGGCAGCAAUUUGAUAGGUAUGUCUGAUCUCAAUGUGCCUGAGCAGCUCUAUCAGUACAUGGUUGGAGGACAUAGGCGCUUUCAAACAGGAAUGCAUAGGGAGAAACAUAAAUCACCAAGUUAUCAAAUCAAAGAAGGAGAUACCAUAAAUGUGGAUGUGACUUGUCCAGGUGCUACUCUAGCUUUGGCUAUGAUCUACUUAAAAACCAAUAACAGUGUCUUCUAGGAAGCCCAGACACAUGGAGAAGUUCUGAGUGUUUUGGCCGAUAGUCCCAGAUGAGGUUCCAGCAACAGCUGGGAUCACCCAUGAGAUGUGAGUGAGGAAGGCUUUGAGAUGGUUUCAGCCCUAGCCACCACUGACCUCAUAAGAGACCACAAGAAUGAGAAUCACCUGGCCAAGCCCAGCAGACCUUCAGAAUUCAGAAAUAAAAUAAUUCAUCUUAUUUUAA
ensembl:lncRNA ANAPC1P2 ANAPC1 pseudogene 2